AGACCAGGAAGUGAAAGUAUUUUUGUCAGUAUUAGACUAUGGUGAUGAAAUUUAUAUGCAUGCAUCUUCAUCUCUGUUGAAAAAACUGGAUGUAGUCUAUCAUGCUGCCCUGCGGUUUGUAACUUGUGCAAGUGUACAUACGCACCAUUGUAACUUAUAUGAAAUGGUUCAAUGGACUUCAUUGUAUUCAAGGAGAAAAACCCAUAUGUUAAUUUUUAUUUUUAAAGCUUUACUGGGUAAACUACCGCAGUACAUAUCCGGCUUACUGAAAUAUUACUCCAGUAGCCAUAACACUAGAUCCUCAGAGAAAAUUCUCCUCAUGGUCCCAAGUAUUCGAACAGAACUGGGUAAAUCAGCCUUUUCCUUUCAUGCCCCGCAUGUCUGGAAUGAGUUACAAGGCAUUCUUAAUCUAAAAUCCUUACCCUCUCUUGACAUGUAUAAAGAUAUAUUAAAAUCUGUUUUUACUGAACAAUGUUAUUGCUUUUAGCAACAAGUGCCUUUUAGCUCCUGAUCCUUGUAUGUCUGUUUUUUAUUAUAUAUUUUUAUUUUUUAUUUUUCUAUUUUCUUUGGUAUGUUUUUAAUAUGAAACUUUUAUUUUCCUGCUGCCAUCUUGGCCAGGACUCCCUGGCAGAAGAGAUAUUGUAUCUCAAUGGGACCUUCCUGGUUAAAUAAAGGAUAAAAAAUUUUUUAAAAGCCACAUGUAUACAGCGGUGAAUCAGUAAAUAGAUCCAUUCGCUUCUACACACAAAGACUGAUGAAUGAAUGUCUUUUCACUCCAUGUCACUGUGAACGAGUUACCAGUAAACGUUUCUUCAGCUACAACAACAACUCUUUCUUCAUUUUGAGUGGAGUUUACCUUCGUGUUUAGUCUGCGGUUCUUACACCCUUACGAGAACCCUAAAGUACAGUAUGCCAUGAACUCAUGAAAUAAAAACUACAGAAUGUAAGGCUAACGUGUUUUGUUGUUUUUUGUUUGUUAAUAUUUUCCCCUUCAUUAUUGUAGCCACACUUUACCUUAUGUUUGAUUUGCAUAUGUAACAUGGUUAAUAAUGAUUACACUUGCCAUUGUACCAGAGGUGUAUGUGUGUAUUUUGGGUCUAGUGUUCUGUCACUUUAAAAUACUUGUGUAGUUGCCUUUAAGGGAAUGACGCACGUUACGUUCUUCCCAGUUUAACUUGCCCAUGCAAGCGAUCACCAUUGCUGAAGAUACAUGUUGAGAACAGUCCAGUGAUCGCACUGUUUGUUAUCAGAAUAAAUCAGCUCAACUGGGAAUCCUGGUUUGUCGUGCUUUUACACAACACAACGCAAGAUCACGCCUGUUACACAUACACGUGGAUGAAUGAAAUAAAACAUCAAAAAGCUUCCCUGGGUGGCAUACAUCUUCAGCUAUUAUGCUCUUACUCAAAUUUCCCCAAGUUGUAUUUUGUGAAGACAAGCUCCUGCACAUGAGAUGGCAGUGGCGUCAGACGUAUCCAGCAUUAUAGCAUCAAUUUAUGUACCAGUAAUGACCUAAUUUGAUAAAGAUUAUGAAAGCAUAUAUUGCAAAACUAUUUUAUUGAAAUAAAGGACAUAACUCAAUUUGAGUUGUAA